rnacentral:rRNA from 1 species
UUUUAUGAGAGUUUGAUCCUGGCUCAGGACGAACGCUGGCGGCGUGCCUAAUACAUGCAAGUCGAACGCUUCUUUUUCCACCGGAGCUUGCUCCACCGGAAAAAGAGGAGUGGCGAACGGGUGAGUAACACGUGGGUAACCUGCCCAUCAGAAGGGGAUAACACUUGGAAACAGGUGCUAAUACCGUAUAACAAUCGAAACCGCAUGGUUUUGAUUUGAAAGGCGCUUUCGGGUGUCGCUGAUGGAUGGACCCGCGGUGCAUUAGCUAGUUGGUGAGGUAACGGCUCACCAAGGCCACGAUGCAUAGCCGACCUGAGAGGGUGAUCGGCCACAUUGGGACUGAGACACGGCCCAAACUCCUACGGGAGGCAGCAGUAGGGAAUCUUCGGCAAUGGACGAAAGUCUGACCGAGCAACGCCGCGUGAGUGAAGAAGGUUUUCGGAACGUACAACUCCGUUGUUAGAGAAGAACAAGCAUGAGAGUAACUGUUCAUCCCUGGACGGUAUCU